rnacentral:rRNA from 1 species
GCUCAGGAUGAACGCUGGCGGCGUGCCUAAUACAUGCAAGUCGAGCGAACAGAUGAGAAGCUUGCUUCUCUGAUGUUAGCGGCGGACGGGUGAGUAACACGUGGGUAACCUACCUAUAAGACUGGGAUAACUCCGGGAAACCGGGGCUAAUACCUGAUAAUAUUUUGAACCGCAUGGUUCAAUAGUGAAAGACGGCUUCGGCUGUCACUUAUAGAUGGACCCGCGCCGUAUUAGCUAGUUGGUAAGGUAAUGGCUUACCAAGGCGACGAUACGUAGCCGACCUGAGAGGGUGAUCGGCCACACUGGAACUGAGACACGGUCCAGACUCCUACGGGAGGCAGCAGUAGGGAAUCUUCCGCAAUGGGCGAAAGCCUGACGGAGCAACGCCGCGUGAGUGAUGAAGGUCUUAGGAUCGUAAAACUCUGUUGUUAGGGAAGAACAAAUUUGUUAGUAACUGAACAAGUCUGACGGUACC